rnacentral:rRNA from 1 species
UACGUAGGGUGCGAGCGUUAAUCGGAAUUACUGGGCGUAAAGCGUGCGCAGGCGGUUUUGUAAGCCAGAUGUGAAAGCCCCGGGCUUAACCUGGGAAUGGCAUUUGGGACUGCAAGGCUUGAGUGCGGCAGAGGAGACUGGAAUUCCUGGUGUAGCAGUGAAAUGCGUAGAUAUCAGGAGGAACACCGGUGGCGAAGGCGCACAUCUGGCCCAAUACUGACGCUAAAGCGCGAAAGCUAGGGGAGCAAACGGG